AGUGAACGCUGGCGGUAGGCCUAACACAUGCAAGUUGAACGGCAGCACAGUAAGAGCUUGCUCUUACGGGUGGCGAGUGGCGGACGGGUGAGGAAUACAUCGGAAUCUACUUUUUCGUGGGGGAUAACGUAGGGAAACUUACGCUAAUACCGCAUACGACCUACGGGUGAAAGCAGGGGAUCUUCGGACCUUGCGCGAUUGAAUGAGCCGAUGUCGGAUUAGCUAGUUGGCGGGGUAAAGGCCCACCAAGGCGACGAUCCGUAGCUGGUCUGAGAGGAUGAUCAGCCACACUGGAACUGAGACACGGUCCAGACUCCUACGGGAGGCAGCAGUGGGGAAUAUUGGACAAUGGGCGCAAGCCUGAUCCAGCCAGACCGCGUGGGUGAAGAAGGCCUUCGGGUUGUAAAGCCCUUUUGUUGGGAAAGAAAAGCAGCAGGUUAAUACCCCGCUGUUCUGACGGUACCCAAAGAAUAAGCACCGGCUAACUUCGUG
rnacentral:rRNA from 1 species